rnacentral:lncRNA from 1 species
UCGCAGGCACGCUGAAGCUGUACUUCCGUGAGCUGCCCGAGCCCCUCUUCACUGACGAGUUCUACCCCAACUUCGCAGAGGGCAUCGGGUGGCAGAGAAGGAGGCGGUCAAUAAGGUGUCCCUGCACAACCUCGCCACUGUCUUUGGCCCCACGCUGCUCCGGCCCUCCGAGAAGGAGAGCAAGCUCCCUGCCAACCCCAGCCAGCCUGUCACCAUGACUGACAGCAGGUCCUUGGAGGUCAUGUCUCAGGGUCCCAGGGCUGGUGGUUGCUUUGGGUCUACAGCUACGUCUUACCCGCCUCCUGCCUCAACAGCCUGUGUGGUGGCAAAGCCGGUGUGGGGCUGGGGAACGCAGCGUUCUCCAGGAGGGGACCCGGCUCUCCUUCUGCAGUGCAGGCGAAGGCCUAGAUGCCAGUGUGACCUCCCACAAGGCGUGGCUUCCAGACUCCCCGGCCGGAAGUGAUGCUUUUUUGCCGCGGGCCCUGGGUUUGAAGCAGCCUGGCUUUCUCUUGGUAAGUGGCUGGUGUCUUAGCAGCUGCAAUCUGAGCUCAGCCACCUACACACCACCGUGGCCGACACUUUCAUUAAAAAGUUUCCUGAG